rnacentral:rRNA from 1 species
GAUGAACGCUGGCGGCGUGCCUAAUACAUGCAAGUCGAGCGAACAGACGAGGAGCUUGCUCCUCUGACGUUAGCGGCGGACGGGUGAGUAACACGUGGAUAACCUACCUAUAAGACUGGGAUAACUUCGGGAAACCGGAGCUAAUACCGGAUAAUAUAUUGAACCGCAUGGUUCAAUAGUGAAAGACGGUUUUGCUGUCACUUAUAGAUGGAUCCGCGCCGCAUUAGCUAGUUGGUAAGGUAACGGCUUACCAAGGCAACGAUGCGUAGCCGACCUGAGAGGGUGAUCGGCCACACUGGAACUGAGACACGGUCCAGACUCCUACGGAAGGCAGCAGUAGGAAAUCUUCCGCAAUGGGCGAAAGCUUGACGGAGCAACGCCGCGUGAGUGAUGAAGGUCUUCGGAUCGUAAAACUCUGUUAUUAGGGAAGAACAAAUGUGUAAGUAACUAUGCACGUCUUGACGGUACCUAAUCAGAAAGCCACGGCUAACUACGUG